GCCGGGCUCAGUGGCGCAUGCCUGUAAUCUCAGUGGCUCUGGAGGCUGAGGCAGGAGGAUCACAAGUUCAAAGCCAGCUUCAGCAAAAGCGAGGCAAUAGGCAACUCAGUGAGAACCUGUCUUUA
rnacentral:sRNA from 1 species